UACAGAGGGUGCAAGCGUUGUUCGGAAUUAUUGGGCGUAAAGGGCGCGUAGGCGGUGCGGUAAGUCUGUAGUGAAAUCUCUGGGCUCAACUCAGAGUCUGCUAUAGAAACUGCCGUGCUAGAGUGUGGGAGAGGUGAGUGGAAUUCCCGGUGUAGCGGUGAAGUGCGUAGAUAUCGGGAGGAACACCUGUGGCGAAAGCGGCUCACUGGACCACAACUGUCGCUGAGGCGCGAAAGCUAGGGGAGCAAACAGG
rnacentral:rRNA from 1 species